GGCACAAACAACAGUCAGCGUUUUCCCCCCCAUAACCCGAAGGCGUAGGGAGGCGACCCUCUCGUCCACCGGGAUAAACUCCAACGUAGCGGCGCUCUUUGCGGAGAGUAAUACAGUUAAUUCAUUUGCAAAUGUGUACUGUGCUUUUGCCUUCCUCUGUAAUGACACACAAAACCUGUUUUCUAUUUUUUUCCCAUUUAGACCAAAAGUAAACGUCACUGCUUUGCAGGGUGGUUAUGAUGAAACCUACAGUAUCGUCACCUGAAUGCAACACUGAGUGACAACAGCAGCACCUCCGAGAAGCUACGUCAGCCCUGAGAGAGACCGUGUACAGCCCUCUAAAGUCAAUUUGAAAUUUAAACGUUGUUUUUCUUGCAUCUUUUUCUUACUUAUGUACAAGUUAAUUGAUCUUAACAGUAUUUACAUCAUUACCCACAAGAGCAGACGUUAGAAUGGUGAUAUGGCUCAGUUGAACUUUAUUGAAUUGAUAGUUUGGUCAGAACAUAACAUGUAUCAAUGCUUUGAAUAAUAAAAUCCUUGUACACAAUUA